GUGAACGUUUUAAUUUUUAAGCAACUCCAAUCGCCUCCCUGUGGAUCGACCUCUUACGACCACUAUUCUUCGAGUAGAACAAGUAAGAGUAAAAUUAAUUUAAACUUUGUUUGUCGGUUCUAACAACGAUCUGUUUAGCAUAUUUUUAGGCAAACAGGAAUCGGCACAACAGUAUGCAAUCAUGGAUUGAUUAAAGGGUAAAUUAUAGAGAAACCCCUUUGUGGCUUCAUCUUUUCGUAAUUUGCACUUACACCCCAAAAGUUAUAAUUUUUUCAUUUAUAUCCUAGAAGUUACGAAUUGGUGGUACUAUUGAUGCAGGACAAUGCAAAGAAGAGAGGAAGGAGGAGGAAGAAGAGAAAGGGAGGAGAGGCGGAGGAAGAACCAAGCUUCGCACCUGGCCCUGACCGUAGCUUCACACCAGGGUUUCAAAGGAAGAAGGAGGCUAAUUCAUUCAAUCAAUCAUCAAACUUAAACAAGUGUAUGGACCCAUAUAUAUAGGG
rnacentral:lncRNA from 1 species